UAUUGGUCAAUGGGCUAAGGCCUGAACCAGCCAAGUCGCGUGAGGGAAGACGGUCCUAUGUAUUGUAAACCUCUUUUGUCGGGGAGCAACGAGGCCACGUGUGGCCGAAGUGAGAGUACCCGAAGAAAAAGCAUCGGCUAACUCCGUGCCAGCAGCCGCGGUAAUACGGAGGAUGCGAGCGUUAUCCGGAUUUAUUGGGUUUAAAGGGUGCGUAGGCGGGCUUUUAAGUCAGCGGUAAAAAUUCGGGGCUCAACCCCGUCCGGCCGUUGAAACUGGGGGCCUUGAGUGGGUGAGAAGAAGGCGGAAUGCGUGGUGUAGCGGUGAAAUGCAUAGAUAUCACGCAGAACCCCGAUUGCGAAGGCAGCCUUCCGGCGCCCUACUGACGCUGAGGCACGAAAGUGCGGGGAUCG
rnacentral:rRNA from 1 species